rnacentral:ncRNA from 1 species
CAUGUACCGAGUGCCAUGCAUGGUCGCCCCCCCCCCCCCCCCNNNNNNNNNCCCCGUCCUUUCUUUCUCUCGGUCCACUGGGACUGAGACACGGCCCAGACUCCUACGGGAGGCAGCAGUGGGGAAUUUUCCGCAAUGGGCGAAAGCCUGACGGAGCAAUGCCGCGUGGAGGUGGAAGGCCCACGGGUCGUUAAUGCCACACUCUAUAGAGGUCUAACUGGUUGCGAAGUUUCUUAUUGUGCGAAGCAAAACAUAUCUGGGAUUAAGUCCACUACGGUAUAUGUAUG